rnacentral:rRNA from 1 species
CCUACGGGUGGCUGUAGUGGGGAAUAUUGCACAAUGGGGGGAACCUUGAUGCAGCAACGCCGCGUGGGUGAAGAAGUACUCCGGUAUGUAAAGCCCUGUCAGCAGGGAAGAAAAUGACGGUACCUGACCAAGAAGCCCCGGCUAACUACGUGCCAGCAGCCGCGGUAAUACGUAGGGGGCAAGCGUUAUCCGGAUUUACUGGGUGUAAAGGGAGCGUAGACGGCAAGGCAAGUCUGGAGUGAAAGCCCGUGGCCCAACCACGGGACUGCUUUGGAAACUGUGUAGGUGGAGUGCAGGAGGGGGAAGCCGAAUACCUAGUGUAGCGGUGAAAUGCGUAGAUAUUAGGAGGAACACCGGUGGCGAGGGCGGCUUACUGGACUGUAACUGACGUUGAGGCUCGAAGGCGUGGAGAGCAAACAGGAUUAGAAGCCCGUGUAGAC